rnacentral:lncRNA from 1 species
CGCGGAGGGAUGGGAUGGGGGCGUCCAGGAGGCGGAGGGCGGUGGCAGAGACCCUGCGUUCCUUAAUGAUUCUAGUUGGGGAGGGGUGGAAAAUGAGAGCGCUCCCCUGUAUAAAGGGGGCACGAUGGGAAAGGAGGAGCAUAUUCCCCGCGGUGCGGGAUGCGAAGUGUGGCUCACCCAGGGCUGGGCUCGUGUGCCUGGGAUGGGGACUGCCCUCCGGAGAUGGAGAGCAGUUAUUCAGAACAGUGAGCUUAGUGCGACCGUUGGAGCCCUGCAGAAAGGUUUCUUUGGUCUUGUCGAAAGACAAGGCAUAGGUCCCCCCACUGCUGCCGCCGCUGCCGGCCCGAGCAUCCGAGGCUCAGAGGAGAGAUCCGGACCGAGAUGGAGGUGGUUGUCACUUGACUCGCACCCCUCACUCCCUGAGCGGGGCGCUGUCGCGGCUGCCCAGACUCACCCGGCCGAUGAAAAACUGCAGGGAUGUAGGAAAGAGGCCAGAAUGGGAGUGGGGCCCGAGCUGGUGACUGCAGCUGCGGAGGAUUCGCUCUUAUCCGCACCUGUGACCGCGGGCUGGACACUGUUAGGACGCAGGGGAGGCAUCCCCCAAGUCGUUACUGAGGAUCCGAGGCCCUGAGAAACACCAGCCAAUCGAGAGAAUAAACCUAGAUCAAAGAAAGAGUCUCUCUGGGCCUUGAGCCCCAGGCCCAGUCUAGGAACCGGCCAUGGGCACAUAUUUCAAAAUCCCCAGGAGGACGUGCCCUAUCCUAUGCAGGGGAGCUGUGGCUCCUUCUAGCUACUCUGGCUUCCAGCAGGGGGGAAGCUGACUUUGAGCACAGCGUUGGAGGACCCAGGCUCUUAGCAGACUCCCCCAGACCAGCCCAGGGAGGUCAGGGAUCUUCCGGUUGCCUCUGCCACAGACCCCAGGAAGCACAAAGCUUCCUGUUGGAUGCCUUCCUGAGCAGGUGAGGAAGAGUCUUUUGAAAUAUGUCCUGGCACUUCCUAGGUGUGUCCCGGUACACCCCAGCAUCUCUGGGACCAGAGACAACCUGUGGCUUGUGCAAGGGAAGACCUUGUCCCCAUCUCGGACCUAAAUGCUUUACAGAACACACACACACACACACACUGUGGUCAGAAUCCCACACAGAAAGCAACAAAGUGGGGUUCUUCCCUCUCCCUCCAAGACUGUUGAGAAGGACCCAUGUUGUUUCUGAUUGUCACUCGCUCUCCGGUGCUGUGAGUUUUGCGGUGCCAGUUGCUAUGUCUCUUUCUGUGUGCCUUCCUUCUGCUGAAGGACACGGGCAACACAAGGUGCACAGGAUGCACUGCCACCCACAAGAGGCUCACGGACAAGGGGCAGCAAAUUGCAAGCCUUUGGGAGGGAAGGUGCCAGGAGGUGGGUAAAUUUGCAGUUCCCAGGGGAGGCCCCAGAGUGAGGUGGACCAGGGAGGGUGUGUCCCGGGAGGAAGGCAGCCCCAGCUUCCAGUGGCUGCUGGAACAAAGGAGCACAAAUUGGGAGGCUUGAAACAACAGAAAUGUAACUGAGAUACUAAUUUUUACAUAUUUUGUUUGUUAGAUAAUCAUAAAAUUAAAAAAAAAAACACAACAUUUUAUUAAGACUAAGGUUCUCCAAAUUAAAGUUAUAUUAAUUUUAAACAAUAAAGGUUACAAACUUAAAAAAAUUCAUUGAUAUUAUAUAAGUUCUCUGACUAGAUCUAUUGUCCAUAAAAAAUACAGUAAGAUUUAUAUACUGCUCCCUACACAGGAAAUAACCUUAAUCAUAUUUUUAAAGGCAAUUAAGAGAUACCUAUUUAAAGGAUAAUAUUCUAAAAUAUAGAUUUUGGGAUCGCCUUAACCAUGCAUUAUUUGCCCUUAAUUUUCUUACCCUAGACAGUGAAGGCCAUUCGGCUGCAGACAGACACUGGCAUCCCUCGUCCAAUUCUGUUCUCCCACCUGUAAUGUGGCGCCAUCCCCUUACAAAUAAAUGGAAAGGCCCAGAUCCUGUCCUCAUCUGGGGACUAGGCUCAGCUUGUGUUUUGGACCAAGAGCAAGCAGCCCCAAGAUGGUUACCAGAACGCCUGGUUAAACAGGUUAAUGACUUACCUCAACCCAGGGACGGAGGCCCUCCCCCUGAGGACAAAUUUUCCUCUUUUGCAGAUGCAGCCAAAAUCCCCUCUGGACUGGGCUUAAUGGAUUUUUACCCUACCUUCUUCCCUUAUUAGGCCCUUUGUUGGGUUUGCUUUUAAUGGUGUCCAUAGGACCCUGCAUUAUAAACAGGCUGGUAAAAUUUAUUAAAGAACAGAUUAAUAUUUUGGCCUCUAAGCCCAUACAGGUCCACUAUCAUCUUCUGGAGAUGGAAGACCGCGCUGCCAACAUUUAAAAGGAUGUUCUACCCUUCUCUCAGGCUUAUUUCUUAAGUUUACAUCCCCACAGAUCUCUCUUUCUUAUAUAAAAGUAUAAGUGACAGCUCUGACCAACCAUCUUCUGCCCUUGCCAUAAGGGUUCGCUCCUCCAUGGGCCCCUCCGCUUGGGGGAGGACUCACCCAUGGAGUGAGGACAUUAGGCCAUAAUGACAGAGGGUGCAGGAAGGACUGCAGGAGGAUGGAUCCACGGAUCCCAAAACCCAAGACCUCUGAGUGACACGCUCUGGUGCAUGGCGGUUGGCAUGCUCCCCCCUCAAAGCUGUCUCCUCCAAAAACAUGCCAAGGCCACCACGAAAUCUCCUAGUGAAGACGCUUGCUCGGAUCAGGAGAUAUUCUAAGGCCUUCUAGAGGAACAGAGCCUCUAUCACCCCCUAAAAACAUGGCCAAUAAGGUAUGGUCAAAUAUUUUAUAUAAGAAAGGGGGAAGAUGUCAGGGACUAGAAGGAAAUUCUCCUUCAAAGAUUAGCCUGACAGCCCCCUGGGAGACAUCCUGCCUGGGAGGCAUCCUGCAGCUACUUAUCUCACCUGAGACAUCCUGCGGCCACCUAUCUUCCUGAAACCUAUCUUCCUGAAACAUCCUGCGGUUAUCUCACCUUGUGCAGACAUCCAGCAACUACCGAUAAGAGAGCUUCCCCAUCCCCAGCAUAUAAAUACCCCUGUGUGAACAAUAAAAGUUUGCAGCUUGAUCAGAA